UGAUUCAAGUUUAGUUAUUACGAAACGCUUUACGAAUAAGACACUCGACUCUUAUCUUUCUCAGAAUAAAGUAUUUAUGAUCUAGCAUCACAGCUAACAAGAAUCUUACGGUCUUAUUUUUUAUCGCAAUUAUUGUUUAAACAAAUGGACACGAAGGAUCAUGAGAAAACCAGGAGAGUUGGUCAUAUAAUCCUACUGGCAACAAACUUGUCGCAUUAUCCAUUGCAUCACGUUCGGCAACCAGGCGUUAGUUUCCAGGAGAAGGACAUUAGGUUCGAGAGAGCUAAGAGGGUUGACAACGGGCACGAGUCAGGCAGUAGACUAACGAGGAGAAGUCAGCGAUGUAAACCCCGGGGAAGGGAGCCCAGUCAAAAUGCAGCCUCAUUCUACCGUGUAACAGAUGAAAGUUCGCUUUGAAAUUUGGUAACUAAGAGUAGAUCUUGGAACGGCGAUACGUUACGGUGCAUCCAGCGAUCAUUAUGAUUACUCCUAUCUAUAUCAAUACAGCGAAGAGGAAGACCUUUGCGUGAGUUUGAAACUAUUUAACGAUCGCUUAAAGAUCACUUCGUUUCUUCUUCUCUAAUGAGAGGAGGGCAAAUACAGAAAAAGAAAGAUUUUUGGUCAGACAAUGGCACAUCGAUACGAUUUAUCGAUAGGAGGUCAUUGAUGUUAGAAUCAGGAUUCCGUCGAAACUUUCCUAACGAUGAUAUAUCGAGGUAAGUGCUGGAGCCUUAAGUCUCGAUCGUUCCGAUAAGGCCUAAAGUACUCUCCCUCUCGUUUCUACCCUCCUUUUCUUCUUCCUUCCUCAUCCAGACCAGGGUGGAAACAUUAGGUACGCCGCAACCCUUCGCGUUAGUCACCUAGAUGACCGUGACUGAUCGUUCCGUUAUAACUCGCCAUGAAAAACGUUUCCGCGAUAUGACAUCGUUUGAAAAAGUGACGUCUUUCAUUUUUUGACAUGGAACUUCGAGGAAGAAGUGAACUGCGUUUGCAAAAUGCCCAGACAUCGAUCUAAGUAUUUUAUAAAUUAACCUUCGUCGCUAACAAAAAGACGUCUGGGUCAAGUGACUUUUUUCAUCUUCAUCGUCGUUACGUUCCUGAAAGAGAUGCGAAGUAUUUUUUGCCGGUAAUAGCUCUUCGUUAGCUCGUUUAGGUAUGCGUAUAUUCGCAUCGACAAACUAUACUAAAACGACGUUUUUGGAGGGAUAGAAAUUUCAAUGGCUUUUACCCAAGGUAGAAAUGGGGAGCGAAUACAUCGUUCCCUAAUAACUUUUUAAAAUUGAGCGUCGUUAACGAGUCAGCAAGGUCGUAGUCAUCAAAAUGCUGUGUUGUCCCUUACGCUAUGCGAUUCUUCUGCCCUUUUUGGAGUGCCAUCAUCGACGAUAGAAUUUUUCCAUUAUUUCCAUCGUAAUUAGCAUAAUUUGUUAUAUCGAAAAUUAAUUUAUGCAACAGAUGGAUUGGAUAUCAACCGAAGGGAGCCGCACAUUCUCGAAAAUCGAGGUUUAUGAUCGUAACAUGUUUGCAAUUUACUUUUGUUUCCAUUAAUCGACAGAACAGGUCCUUUCUUCUUCAUUUCAGUCAUCCUUUUGUUCAUAGUAAUAAAUCAAUCGUCGUAAUCUUGCUCUCGUGAAAUUUCACGGGACUCGAAGAAACUUUUGUUAAGUUUGGCACUAAAGAUCACUACACAUAUUUUCUUAUUAAAAAAACGAAGGAAGAUCACGUUGUACGCCUUCGCAAAUGAAAAUGUAAAUGACCGUGACUACUGAAAUUUCGUCAAUAUCAAGUGGCAAUAUGUCUUCCCUAAUAAACUUAUAUAGAAUGAUAAACCAGGAAUACAAGUUUUUAUUAUAUGGUAAACAACGCGAAACACCGUACGAAAGAUUUAUAAGUUGGAUUUUUCACGCACGAAACUUGAUAGGCCGUACUACAUUAUUAUUUUCCCUGGCUCUUCCAUUAUUUGGCGUAGGAAUAAUGUUGUAUUACAGAGGAAAAAGUAAUACGGUCGAACGUAAAGCCGUUAUUCAAAAUUAAGGGAUUUUUGUACUUUGUUAUUCUAAUUUUGCAUCAUGUUCAGCCAUGAUCUAAAUUUGGAAUACAUAUGAUGUUUGUGAGAUAAAAACUCUUUGUAAAGUCGAAAUAUUUGUAAAAUGUUAUUAUUUUUCAUCCGUUGUCAAUAGGAAUGCAAGUAAAUCUGAUAAUAAUAAGUUUUAUUCAAUAAAAAGGUUCGUAAUUAAUAUAAUAUUUAAU